rnacentral:misc_RNA from 1 species
UCUCCGUAGGUGAACCUGCGGAGGGAUCAUUACUGAGUGAGGGCUUCGGUCCGACCUCCAACCCUUUGUGAACCAAACUUUUUUCUUCGGGGGCGACCCUGCCGCUUCGGCGGUACGGCGCCCCCGGAGGCCAUUAAACACUGCAUCAUUGCGUCGGAGUUAAAGUAAAUUAAACCAAACUUUCAACAACGGAUCUCUUGGUUACAGCAUCGAUGAAGAACGCAGC